GGAGCUCCAGCGGCAGCUGCCGAGGGAGAGACCGUCCCCGCUGUGAGCUGGGCGGAGCUCGGGAAGGCCCGCAGCCUUCAGCUGAACUGUCUCAACGGAGCCAGAACUCUGGCGCGUCCCUUGGUGCAUCCGCUGGGCCUCUGCCUGCUGGCUUCUCAGUCCGGCCGCCGGGUCCACCAGAUGUCUGCCAAGAGUGUAGGACUUGGCCACCAGCUUGAAAUGUUUAAGACGGACCAGAUGGCUCUCCUCGGCUGCAGAACCGCUAAGAUCCAGUAGAGGAUGCAUAAUCUCACCCCUGAACAUUCCUGACAGUGUGAUUAUGACAUAUGACUUUACCCAGCACCAGAGUGAGUUGGUGCUCCAGCCCUGGCCCAGCCCACAGAAGAGAUUGUGACAUAUCACUGGAUCCAACACUGAGAUGUUGCCCAAAAAGAGAUUGUGACAUAACUUUGGGCCCAGCACCGAGGUGAUGUCUCCCCUCUCCUGCCCGGGGCUUGCCCACUGAAGA
rnacentral:lncRNA from 1 species